GACGAACGCUGGCGGCGUGCCUAAUACAUGCAAGUUGAGCGCUGAAGGUUGGUACUUGUACCAACUGGAUGAGCAGCGAACGGGUGAGUAACGCGUGGGGAAUCUGCCUUUGAGCGGGGGACAACAUUUGGAAACGAAUGCUAAUACCGCAUAAAAACUUUAAACACAAGUUUUAAGUUUGAAAGAUGCAAUUGCAUCACUCAAAGAUGAUCCCGCGUUGUAUUAGCUAGUUGGUGAGGUAAGGGCCCACAAGGCGAUGAUACAUAGCCGACCUGAGAGGGUGAUCGGCCACAUUGGGACUGAGACACGGCCCAAACUCCUACGGGAGGCAGCAGUAGGGAAUCUUCGGCAAUGGACGAAAGUCUGACCGAGCAACGCCGCGUGAGUGAAGAAGGUUUUCGGAUCGUAAAACUCUGUUGGUAGAGAAGAACGUUGGUGAGAGUGGAAAGCUCAUCAAGUGACGGUAACUACCCAGAAAGGGACGGCUAACUACGUG
rnacentral:rRNA from 1 species